GGACUACCCGGGUAUCUAAUCCUGUUUGCUCCCCUUGCUCUCGCGCCUCAGCGUCAGGAAAAAGCUAGAAAACCGCCUUCGCCACUGGUGUUCCUCCACAUAUCUACGCAUUUCACCGCUACACGUGGAAUUCCAUUUUCUCCGCCAUUCCUCUAGAUGAACAGUUUUAAGUGCAGCUCCGAGGUUGAGCCCCGGAAUUUCACACCUAACUUUCUCAUCCGCCUACGCGCCCUUUACGCCCAAUAAUUCCGAUUAAUGCUUGCACCCUCCGUAUUACCGCGGCUGCUGGCAC
rnacentral:rRNA from 1 species